CAAUAGCGUAUAUUUAAGUUGUUGCAGUUAAAAAGCUCGUAGUUGGAUUUCUGUCAAGGACAACUGGUCCGCCCUCCGGGUGAGCACAUAGUUUGGUCUUGGCAUCUUGCUGGAAACUGUUGCUGCGCUUGGUUGUGUGGUGCAGCUUUCAGCACUUUCACUUUGAGGAAAUUGGAGUGUUUCAAGCAGGCACAUGCCUUUGGACACAGUAGCAUGGAAUAAUUAGAUUGGGCUUUUGCUCCAACUUGUUGGUUCCUGGAGCUGAGGUGAGAAUCAAUGGGGAUUGUUGGGGGCAUCCGAAUUUAGCCGUCAGAGGUGAAAUUCUUGGAUCUGCUAAAGACGGACAACUGCGAAAGCGUUUGCCCAGGAUGUUUUCAUUGA
rnacentral:rRNA from 1 species